rnacentral:rRNA from 1 species
CCUACGAGAGGCAGCAGUGGGAAAUAUUGCACAAUGGGCGCAAGCCUGAUGCAGCGACGCCGCGUGCGGGAUGGAGGCCUUCGGGUUGUAAACCGCUUUUAUAGGGGGGCAAGCUAUGCCUGUGUGGUGUGGUGAGUGGACUUUAUGAAUAAGCACCGGCUAACUACGUGCCAGCAGCCGCGGUAAUACGUAGGGUGCAAGCGUUGUCCAGAUUUAUUGGGCGUAAAGGGCUCGUAGGCGGUUUGUUGCGUCUGGUGUGAAAGCUUACUGCUUAACGGUAGGUUGCGCUGGAUACGGGCAGGCUGGAGUGCAGUAGGGGAGACUGGAAUUCUCGGUGUAACGGUGGAAGGUGUAGAUAUCGGGAAGAACACCUAUGGCGAAGGCAGGUCUCUGGGCUGUUACUGACGCUGAGGAGCGAAAGCGUGGGGAGCGAACAGGAUUAGAUACCCCAGUAGUC